rnacentral:rRNA from 1 species
GAGUUUGAUUCUGGCUCAGGAUGAACGCUGGCGGCGUGCUUAACACAUGCAAGUCGAACGGACCUGGUUUUCAGCACAAAUUGCUUAUGCGACGGUAGCGUCGACAGAUGUGACCUUGGCGUCGAUAAAAAACAUCUGUCUACGCGUUUAAAAGCGUGAUAAUACAUGAACACACGCGAGACGGAAAAGCAAUGAGUGAUUUGUGCUGGAAAUCAGGUUAGUGGCGGACGGGUGCGUAACACGUAGGUAACCUACCCUGUGCUUCGGAAUAACUCCGGGAAACCGGUGCUAAUGCCGAAUAAUAUCGCCUGUCGGCAUCGAGAGGCGAUCAAAGAAUUUUGGCACAGGAUGGGCCUGCGCCGGAUUAGCUGGUUGGUGAGGUAACGGCUCACCAAGGCGACGAUCCGUAGCCGACCUGAGAGGGUGAUCGGCCACACUGGAACUGAGACACGGUCCAGACUCCUACGGGAGGCAGCAGUGGGGAAUAUUGCACAAUGGGGGAAACCCUGAUGCAGCAACGCCGCGUGAGCGAUGAAGGCUUUCGAGUCGUAAAGCUCUGUCCUAUGGGAAGAUGAUGACGUACCAUAGGAGGAGCCCCGC